UUGUGCUAGGUGGGGAGCUAGCGGUGCCCUGUACCCGAAAUCCGCUAUAGCGGGGCCGAAAUCCCUUCCGAGGGUCAUGCCGAAAACAUAUUUGUCUGCCGACCGGCCGCCGCGCAACAGACGGUCACGAACCUCGUCAGGUCCGGAAGGAAGCAGCGAUAAGAGAUGCGGUCUGUGUCGCGGAUCGAUCCCGGUCACAUGCAGGCAAACAUGGAAUAGGUAGAUUCGAAGAAGGGUGCACAA
rnacentral:SRP_RNA from 1 species